AUCGGUCGCCGAAGGUUAUGAACAACGAAUACGCUCCGCGUUUCAAGAAAACCGCACAGCUGGUUUUCCAUCUGAGAACGAGGCUUCCCAGGGUGUCAAGCCGUAGGGGCAAACAGCACCAAACCUGGAGACUUCUCUCCAGAAGGGCACCCUAGAGGGUUAAAGGCCCCUUGGUUAAGGGGCGGAAUUCACCCGGAAGGCACGGGCCGCGCGGAAGCCCACUGGAAGCCGGGCGCCCGGCCUGCGGCUCCGCCGUCAUUAAAAGCCCCUCCGAGGCGAGGCGGCGGAGACAAGCCGGCAGCACCCUUCCCUCCGCCCGCGCCCUCCCCAGCCCGUUUCCGUGACGCUCCGCAGACUUUCACUUUGUCCCCUUCCUCCCGGGCUGCCCCUCCCGCCGCGGCGGGGCCACUCCCGGUUCCCCCGGCCCCCACCUCGGGGCCCGAAGCCGGGGCCCGCGCGGCCCACCCCGGCAGCCACAGUUCAAAAGGAAAAAUCCGUCAAGGCGCAAGAGAGAAGCAAGCUGUGCUUCUCCGCUGAGGAAGAGUGACCGCUGAUACUUGCAGAAGUACCGCCGUUCCUACGCUCGGCAGCAUCGUGGGCCAUGUGCGGAGCAUCUCCACUGGGGGAAUGGGGACGGAUGAGACUGCCCUGCCCUCAGGGAGCGGUCCUGGCAAGCAGCACUCUAGCAGCUGAGCUGAAAUUGAGCACUUCCAGCGAAUGAACCUCAUGAAUGAUGCCAUGCCCACUGGCUGUUCUGUCCCUGACGGUGAGGAGAUGCUAGAAAGCUAAGAAGCCAAGGGUGAAGGAGGAAGAAGACUGGCCAGGGCGGGAACUGUGGCUGGGGCACUGCCCGAGCGCCAGGCAGCCCUGCCUUGCUUGCACCACAGGCUGGCAGACUGGCCACCCUUAGACCCAUGAGCUGAGGAUCCUGGGGCGUUGGCACUGGUUUCUCUGGUGCUGCGUGUUUCCCAUCAACCUGCAUGUUCCCUGGGAGCACAAAACCAGUCCUUUUCUUUUUCUGAAUCCACAUGGCCAGAUGAGAUCCAAAUAUAAAUACACAUUUAUUUACGGCACAGAGACGGUGCUGUGCUUUGUCUUACAA